rnacentral:rRNA from 1 species
UACGUAGGGAGCAAGCGUUGUCCGGAUUUACUGGGUGUAAAGGGUGCGUAGGCGGCUUUGCAAGUCAGAAGUGAAAUCCAUGGGCUUAACCCAUGAACUGCUUUUGAAACUGCAGAGCUUGAGUGGAGUAGAGGUAGGCGGAAUUCCCGGUGUAGCGGUGAGAUGCGUAGAGAUCGGGAGGAACACCAGUGGCGAAGGCGGCCUGCUGGGCUCUAACUGACGCUGAGGCACGAAAGCGUGGGUAGCAAACAGG